AUUGAACGCUGGCGGCAUGCUUUACACAUGCAAGUCGAACGGCAGCACAGGGAGCUUGCUCCCGGGUGGCGAGUGGCGCACGGGUGAGUAAUACAUCGGAACGUGUCCUGUUGUGGGGGAUAACUGCUCGAAAGGGUGGCUAAUACCGCAUGAGACCUGAGGGUGAAAGCGGGGGAUCGCAAGACCUCGCGCAAUUGGAGCGGCCGAUGCCCGAUUAGCUAGUUGGUGAGGUAAAGGCUCACCAAGGCGACGAUCGGUAGCUGGUCUGAGAGGACGACCAGCCACACUGGGACUGAGACACGGCCCAGACUCCUACGGGAGGCAGCAGUGGGGAAUUUUGGACAAUGGGGGCAACCCUGAUCCAGCCAUGCCGCGUGCAGGAUGAAAGGGCCUUCGGGUUGUAAACUGCUUUGUCAGGGACGAAAAGGAUACGUGAUAAUACCAUGGUCUGCUGACGGUACCUGAAGAAU
rnacentral:rRNA from 1 species